CAUCGGACUUGAAUGAUUGAGUGCUCCGGCGGAAACGCCAGAUGCAGAACUGCUCAAAUUCGGGGAAUCCUGUCAGAUGGCGAUCCCGAGCCAAGCCCUGAGGCGGCAAGCUUCAGGGAAGGUGUAGAGACUAGACGGGCAGCACCUACGGCAGACGCUAUGGUGAAGGGAUAGUCCAGACUCCAAACGCCUUUCGGG
rnacentral:ncRNA from 8 species